AAAAGCUUGCUCUCACUUUUAGCUUUUGCUUUUGCUUGUGCUCUCAGCGGGGGGCUGCGGUGGGCGACAGGUACGAGUAGUGGGUGCCGCCGCCGUAUUAAUGAGCUUACAUUAAAACGCUUUCAAAUCCAAAAUACAAGCAGUAUUGUAAUUGCAUUCGACUUAGAAGUAGAAACAAAGCCAAGGUAGACGGAAACGAGUUUCGAAUGUGGCAGACACCACCGCCGACAUCGACCCUGUUGCACUCGCAGAGGGCGCCCAAAGAGAGAUCAAACGGCCCAGGGCACGCCAAAGAGUACGUCCCAAAAUUUCAGUCAAUUUUGGAUCCCACAAUUGGUAUACCCUAAAGGGAAAAAGGGUAAUGUUACUUGAAUGCAACACGACAGUUUUACAGAUGCUGGGCAUAAAGACUUCUUUAUGUGUUCGUUAUGUGGCUUUGUUCAUUGAGUCUUGAACAAGUAAAUACAUUUGAGAAGAUAUACAAUUUUCUCGUCCACAGAUCCUCCAAAUAGG
rnacentral:sRNA from 1 species